CCAGUGUGCGGUCGCUAUGUGCCGACCUUCCUGUCAAAAGGCCAGCCCACGUACGGAUUUGGUUCGCUGCUUUUCUUGUUUCUUGCGGGUUUUUUUUUCGUUUUUCUUCCUUGCUUUUUUGCUUCCAGUUUUUUCACUGUAUUGGCCGGUUUUCAGUUGUUUUGUUCUGGGCUUUUUUAUUUUUCUGUUUUGGUUUCUUAUUUCCUUUCAUUUUUUCUUUUAUGUUCCCUUUUUUUAUUUUCUGUUUCUGUUCUUUUUCUCAUUAUUGCACAUUAUAUAAAAAGUUUACCGUAUGUUACAAAGAUACUCAUCGUAUUAACAAAAUGUUCAUCGUAUAUUAUGAAAUAGUUCAGCUUGCACUAUAAAAAUGUUCAUCGUGUAUUACAAAAAUGUUCGUCGUAUGUUCUUAAAUUGUUCAACGUAUAUUAGAAAAUAUUCAUUGUGUAUUUAAAUUUUGUUCAUCAUAUACUAACAAAUUUU
rnacentral:lncRNA from 1 species